AUUGAACGCUGGCGGCAGGCCUAACACAUGCAAGUCGAGCGUGAAAGGGCUUCGGCCUGAGUAAAGCGGCGGACGGGUGAGUAACGCGUAGGAAUCUACCUGGUAGUGGGGGAUAACGUUCCGAAAGGGACGCUAAUACCGCAUACGUUCCGAGGAAGAAAGCGGGGGAUCGCAAGACCUCGCGCUAUCAGAUGAGCCUGCGUCCGAUUAGCUAGUUGGUGGGGUAAAGGCCUACCAAGGCGACGAUCGGUAACUGGUCUGAGAGGAUGAUCAGUCACACUGGAACUGAGACACGGUCCAGACUCCUACGGGAGGCAGCAGUGGGGAAUAUUGGACAAUGGGCGCAAGCCUGAUCCAGCCAUGCCGCGUGUGUGAAGAAGGCCUCGGUU
rnacentral:rRNA from 1 species